GCCCGUUUAGCUCAGUGGUAGAGCGCUUGUCUCGUAAACAAGAAGUCGAGAGUUCAAACCUCCCAACGGGCU